rnacentral:rRNA from 1 species
AGGACGAACGCUGGCGGCGUGCUUAACACAUGCAAGUCGAGCGGUAAGGCCUUUCGGGGUACACGAGCGGCGAACGGGUGAGUAACACGUGGGUGAUCUGCCCUGCACUUCGGGAUAAGCCUGGGAAACUGGGUCUAACACCGGAUAUGACCUCCUAUCGCAUGGUGGGUGGUGGAAAGAUUUAUCGGUGCAGGAUGGGCCCGCGGCCUAUCAGCUUGUUGGUGGGGUAAUGGCCUACCAAGGCGACGACGGGGUAGCCGACCUGAGAGGUG